AGAACGUGCUUGUCAGCUCUUCCUGAUCUGUUGUAGAACUGUGAUCGCUCAGGGAGUCAGAGGCAAACCUGGUGGCCCAGUGGCAAGCAAAGCCAUGGUGGUCACAGCUCUCCUUACUACUGCUACUUGGAGUUUAUUAUGAGGCUCCUUGAGGCUGUGCCCUAUGUUGGGUACAUCCAAGGUUCUGGUUCAUCCCUUAGGAAGAUUUUGUGUGUGAGAAGGCAGCGUAAAGUCUGGCAACACUUUGCCGAGCAUGAAUUCGCCCAGUUGACGGGCUGUGGAAAAGGGGGUUAGUAGAUGAGUGUGGGAAACACUGGGUUCAAGAAAGUUAGUUGGAUUUUUCAAUCGCAGGACUUCUCAAGAGCUUCACUGUGCAAUGCGCAGUGUGACUCCUAAGGAGGGCUUCCAACAGGCAGUUGCCCAGUCUUUUUUGUUUUGUUUUGUUUUUGUUUUAGAGCCAGGGUUUCACCCUGUCACCCAGGCUAGUCUCAGACUUCUGGGCUGAAGCAUUCCUUCCACCUCUGCCUCCUGAGUAGCUGGGAAUAGAGGUAUAUGCCAGCAUACCUGGCCCCAAACCUUUUUUUUUUUUUUUUUUUUUUGAGACAGAGUCUGGCUCUGUCACCCAGGCUGGCAUGCAGUGAUGCAAUCUUGGCUCACUGCAACCUCUGCCUCCCAGGUUCAAGCAAUUCUCCUGCUUCAGCCUCCCGAGUAGCUGGGAUUACAGGUGUGCCACCAUGCCCGGCUAAUUUCUUUUCUUUUUUUUUUUUUUUUUUGAGAUAGAGUCUUACUCUGUAGCCCAAGCUGGAGUGCAGUGGCACGAUCUUGACUCACUGCAACCUCUGCCUCCCAGGGUCAAGCAGUUCUCCUGCCUCAGCCUCCCAAGUAGCUGGGACUACAGGCGCAUGCCAUAAUGCCCAGCUAAUUUUUUUUGGUAUUUUAGUAGAGAUGGAGUUUUACCUUGUUGCCCAGGCUGGUUGCAAACUCCUGAGCUCAAGCAAUCUGCCCGCCUCAGCCUCCCAAAGUGCUGGGAUUACAGGCAUGAGCCACUGCGCCCGGCCUAAUUUUUGUAUUUUUAGUAGAGAUGGGGUUUUACCAUGUUGGCCAGGCUGGUCUCAAGACUCCUAACCUCAAGUGAUCCGCCCACCUCAGCCUCCCAAAGUGCUAGGAUUACAGAUGUGAGCCACUGCACCUGUCCUGUGCCUGUGCUCUUCCAGAGCAAAGUUUCCCACUGGUGCAUGGAGGCGGCAUCACAUUUGUGUUCAGAUACAGAUCCCCUCAGUCAUCAGGGCCCCUGGGCAGGGUCCCCAGAAGCUCGCCACUGGCCUUGGCAGUGUGCUGCCGAUACUUUCUUUUGCGGUGGCACGAAGAUGACCUGAAGCUCUGCUGUAGAGCAAGUGUUCAUGGAAACUGAGAAUGAAAGUUCAAAGUGAGACCAGCGCACGCACCGGUGUCUUCUUCUGGCCUCUGACCCGUCUCAUCUCUUUGCCAGGCUGGAAGUACACCUCGUUGGAGGCUUCAGUGACGACAGGCAGUUGUCACAAAAACUCACUCAUCAACUUCUUAGUGAAUUUGACAGGCAAGAAGAUGACAUUCACUUAGUGACAUUAUGUGUGACAGAAUUAAAUGACCGGGAAGAAAAUGAAAACCACUUUCCAGUAAUAUAUGGCAUUGCUGUCAACAUUAAGACUGCAGAGAUUUACAGAGCCUCCUUUCAAGAUCGGGGUCCGGAGGAGCAGCUUCGUGCUGCGCGAACUUUAGCAGGAGGACCAAUGAUUAGCAUUUAUGAUGCAGAGACGGAACAACUUCGUAUAGGACCGUACUCCUGGACACCAUUUCCACAUGUGGAUUUCUGGUUGCACCAAGAUGACAAGCAAAUACUAGAGAAUCUUUCCACUUCGCCUCUGGCUGAGCCACCCCACUUUGUUGAACAUAUUAGAUCUACCUUGAUGUUUUUAAAAAAACACCCAUCUCCAGCUAACACACUGUUUCCUGGAAAUAAAGCCCUACUCUACAAAAAAAAUGAAGAUGGCUUGUGGGAAAAGAUCUGUUCUCCAGGAAGUUAAAAAACAUGAAUUACCAAAGAAAGCACCUUCUUGGCCUGACAGACCAUUGGUGGGGCUGGCACGAAUCCAGAUCUGGAUCCUACAUCCGUUGGGUCUUAGGCCUCCUUCCCUCCUCAGUGUCUUUCAAAUGACUUUCAAAAUAAAACCUUAUUUUGGCAAAGGC
rnacentral:sRNA from 1 species